CUACUACUCCCUCCGUCCCAAAAUUCUUGUCUUAGAUUUUUCUACAAAUGGAUGUAUCUAAAUACCAAAAGAUGACUAGAUACAUUCAUACCUAGAUAAAUCUAAGACAAGAAUUUCGGGACAGAGGGAGUACUUU
rfam:Hordeum vulgare subsp. vulgare, WGS project CAJW01000000 data, contig: morex_contig_60093